rnacentral:rRNA from 1 species
AACGAACGCUGGCGGCAUGCCUAACACAUGCAAGUCGAACGAGACCUUCGGGUCUAGUGGCGCACGGGUGCGUAGAGCGUGGGAACAUGCCCUUAGGUUCGGCAUAACUCCCCGAAUGGGGUGCUGAUACCGGCUAAUGUCUCCGGACCAAUGGUUUAUAGCAUUUGGGUGGGCCCGCGUUGGAUUAGCUAGUUGGUAGGGUAAAAGCCUACCAAGGCGACGAUCCAUAGCUGGUUAGAGAGGACACUCAGCCACACUGGGACUGAGGCACGGCCGGGACUCAUACGGGAGGGAGCAGUGGGGAAUAUUGGACAAUGGGCGAAAGCCUGAUAGAGCAACGCAGCGUGAGGGAUGAAGGCCUUAGGGUUGUAAAGCUCUGUUACCCGGGAGGAUAAUGACAGUACCGGGAGAAUAAGCCCCGGCUAACUCCGUG